UAGCACUUGAAAACGUAAAAGUCCAGGAAGUUGAAGAAACAAAUUCGACGUAACAAAUAAAUUACUCCAAAAAAUCUCUUAAAAAGAGUACUCUAAAAGGGAAUAAUCCAAAGAAUAAUGUAUCCAAGAUACCGGCACCUCCGAACACUUUCGACGUUGCACUCAAGAAUUGCUCCGGCAUCAUACCUACUAAGAAGUUGCAAUUCGGUGACUUGGAUAAUGCUCGUAGCUCGAGGAAUGAGGAUAUGGCACGAGAAUUAGCAGAAAAGGAUGCCAAAAUUGCAGAUCUGAUGGAGGCUUUACGAAAACAGCAAGAGAAAAGUGAGAAUAACUUUUGGCUUGAAGGCAGCCCUGAAUCCCAUAUAAGUCCUCGGAGAACUUCUCUGAUUUCGACACAAAAAUUUUCAAGCACGAAGAGUCCAAC